rnacentral:lncRNA from 1 species
UUCCCACCAAGAUUAACAAGGGUACUGUUGAAAUUAUCACACCUGUGGAGCUUAUUAGGAAGGGUGACAAGGUGGGAUCUUCUGAGGCAGCCCUGCUUGCAAAGCUUGGGAUUAGACCCUUCUCUUAUGGUCUUGUUGUCCAGUCUGUCUAUGAAAACGGUUCCGUCUACAGCCCAGAGGUCCUUGACCUGUCUGAAGAUGACCUAGUGGAGAAGUUCGCCUCAAGUGUAUCAAUGGUCACCGCUCUGGCACUUGCCAUCUC